UCUCGGCAGGGCUGGCUGCUGUUCCAGAAUCCCGUAGCCUCUCCAAGAGAACUCCUGAGAGCAAGACAUGGCUCCUGGGGUGGGAGAAUCAGGAGACCCAUUUCCAGCCUGGAACGCUUAGUCCCAGCCAUAAGGCAAGCCACCAAUUUCACACAAAGGGGCACCUGUUCCAGAGUUGAACAAGCACCCGGAUGGAGCCGGAGAACUCUGGAAGGCUGGUCAUAAAGAAUAAGCUUCGACUCCUUUGCAAAUGUCUACUUUUGGACUCCUUCAACGUCUUCAAGAAAUGUGGAUUUCUGUUCAAGAUGGCGGAUGGCUCCUGAAUACCUCAGCAGAACUCGUGGCCUCUCUGUGACAUGACUGAAUAAAAAGGAAUAUACCAAAACUCAGAAUGGCACAUUCGCUCUUGUAAGUGGGUUGGUUGUACAAUGAGCUAUCUCAUUAUUCCAACCCACAAUACACAACCGCCUUUGAAGGCAACUCCUAUUCUUAAAAAAUGGAAAGUUUUGAAACAAAAGGCAUUGAGCUUAGGAAGGUACUCUUUCUUGUGAUAUAAAUUUAAGUUGGGUAGCCGCCACUGAUUUGAAAAUACCCAUGGGGUUCAGGCCAAGCUUCAGAAGUUUAUUUCCACACAUAAACUAAUAUGGAAAGAAAGCUGCUAUCACUCUGGAGCAGCGGAUCCUGCAAAUCGCACACCUGACAAAGCAAUUUAUAUCUGCCAACCCCCUUCCUUCCCCUUGGAGCAGAUAAUGGGCUCUCCAUUUACUAAGGUGGCAAGAGGCACUGGUUUUGGAAUGAAUUAUAUUACCCUCUGAAAUGUAUAUUACAUUUUAUCUCCUGCAUCCUUACUGCAUAAAAGGAUUUAAAUACUAUUCUGUCUCACUAGCAUGACCAUUCCUCCAGAAUGAGUCCCUUUUCAGAGGUGACCAUCACACAGCCCAGGAAGCUGUAAAGGCAGUCAGCUGGCCACCAUGAACCGCGGCUCCUGGGUUCCCCAUCGACUGCUCUCUCCUCUGCUCCACCUGACCACCCCCACCCGCUCUUGCCACCAGGCUGACACCAUCUCAACACUGGCCCAUCAGCCACUCCAGAGAGAUGCUCAGAAAAAUCAUAUUUGGUGCUGCUCAGUCUCAUGAGUCAGAAAAUCUGAUUAGAUUUCCAUGCCUUCCAAAUACAAUACUGCAUGUGGUUCACCAAGCAAAUCACUGGGCACUUUUAAUCAUUCAUUUCAGGUGAAGUUCUGGGGGCCCUGGGCAGUGGCAGCCGUCCACGAAGGAGGCGUAGGAACCGCUCUUGGAGAAGAAGCCAAGGCUGUGGGUGCUGCUUGAGGACAAAGCAAGAGCAAUUUCAGAGUGCUUUACAAUUUACAAAGCACACUCAUUCUUAUUCAUUUCAGGUUCUAGACUGACCAAUGAAGUACCACAAAAAUGAAUAUGCUCCUGAAAUCCAUUUUUUCAGUUAAAAAAAUGUGUUCACAAACAUAGUCGCUAACCCUAUUCCAUGCAGUAAUUGACAAGACUCGCAGCAGGGAUUUUAUGAUCCCAAAUCUGGUGGUGGCAUUUUUCUGCACAAUGCUGACACCCACCACCGUCGCUCACGCAGCAGCUAGUACUUGGUGAAGUACUACGUGCCAGGGGCUCUGCACAAUGCUUUUCCUGCUUUAUCCUCACAGGCACCCGCCCUGGGAGAUGGAUACUGACAGGUCAGAGGAGCUCAGAGAGAUUGCUGUGUGUCUAAGUUUGCCUGCCUCCAAGCUAGCAAGCAGUCUUACACUCUGAUGCUUAGCUCUCUUUACCUGUAAAACAAAACCUUCCUGAACCUCAGGGAAAUUAGCUUGACUCACACAUGGGAUUUCUCAGAAUUUGCAAGUUCACUAUUACUACAGUGCUUAACUUUCCAUUCCUGACGCUAAUGUUUUCAGACCUAAUUUCUUUCUAAACCUAAGACUUCUGAACACGUGUACCUUUCAAUAUUUGUGGAUCACAUUUUGUUUUCUAUACUGAUCAGGAAGCCUGCCCGAGCAAAUAUUAUGUCCUGGUCCAAAUAGCUCCAAUUAAAGCAGAAGCCCUUAGUUAAACAAACUGGAAAACAGGCUCAAAAUACAUAUCUUUGGGGUUUAAUCCACCAACAACUAUAUUGUGGAUUAAUUUGUGUCUACAACGGGAGAAAAAGGGUUAUUGCUGAAUUUAACAAGUAUUUUACAUUUCUCAAUUUCAGGGACCAUUUAGGAAAAUAGGACAAUGCAGGAAAUAUUUGUUUUAAAAAGUAGCCCAAGAGAGAACAUACCAAGGCUAAGUGUUAAUUUGUUAUUGUCAUUCAGAAUAUACAGUCUUGGGGCCAUAGCAUAAAAGAUCUGUAAGAAAGAGCUGGGCAAUCUCAUGUAACAGGUGAGGACACUGAAUCUGGGAAAUGCUAAAUGACUCACUCAGGGUCACACGAUUGCAUAUCUAGCACAUUGGUUCUAGUUUCAAUCCCAUCUCCAAUGAGAUUGAAGCACUUUAGGAAUACACAGAUGACAGAUAUUAAUGUAAGGCUGAAUAGUCUGAGAAAACCCGCCUAAGUUUUUCAUUUAUUUUUAUUUACUGUUUCUUUGAGGUAGGGGGAAUGAUGGGUCUUUUCAAUUUUGCAAAUUGUACCACCCAGGGUAUUAAAACACUGUAGUAAAUAGUUUGAGUGCUGAGAAGGCAAAGAAGGCCUCAUCCCUAUUCAUCAGAUGUAAAUGUAAUGAUUAGACUGCAGUUGUCAUUAACUAGCUAAUAACUACUUAUGACCUCAGGAUGCAGUUUCUACCCAGCUAAUGGGCUACAUAGUAAAGCUAUGAUUUUAUCUCAGCUGUUACAGCCCUCCAUCUCAGUUGCUCACAUUAAGGGAUGAGCAGGUUCUGCUGAUUAUCUACAUAAUAAAAGAUCAUGUUCUAAGGGCCUUCAGUAAAACUCUCAUUAAACAAAAUUGGAGUUGUGCCUGAGAACAAGUCUUGCAGGAUAACUUGUUGAUUGCCCCAAAUAACCCUCACGAAUCACACAGAAAAUGGAUCAUGCAUUUUCUCAGCUGCAUUUUCCAGCAAUUGGGAACCGCUAAGUGGGCAUUGUAUCUGCUGACACUAUGCAAACAAGGUUUUUCCAUGCUGCUUCCACUUAGCCUUAGAGAUGGCACCCACUUCCUGAAGGUACAGUUUGAAGGAACAUGCAGAGAGUCACUUGUGGCUGAGCUGGGCUCAGAGUGCAGAGGUUGGCUUCAAGGGAAGAAUAAGGUUUGGCAAUGCCUACAUCUGCUAUCCUCACUGUUCUUCAAGCCAACCUCCACCUUCUCCUCCUCCCCUCUUUUUUUCUUCUCAAAAAACUGUUCUUUCCUCUUAGGUGAUAGAGUAAGGAAAUCUGUAUAUGUUUACUAAAUUGUGAUUAGUGUACAUAGAUUUACAAAUAUUUCUACAUAUACCCAUAUGUAUCAAUAUUAACUUAAAUAUUUAUUAGUUCAGACUGAUGUUUCAACUCUAAUCCAUCACCACAUGGGUCAUUCUCACUUCUCCCCUUGUUUAUCUAUAAACUCCUACAAGGAAAAACCUGGAUGUCCACCAUCCACCAUCCAUUUACUUAAUUAUUCGGUUUCAGUUUACAUGUAUAACAAUAUCAGAAUUGUUAACUUAUUGACCUGUGAGAAACAACUCUAUCAAUUAGAGGAUAGUCAUUAUGAUGGCUCCUUUUGUCUUUAGACUGGCAGACCCUACUAAUUUUUAAGUUUCGUAGGCCAGUACCUUUUUGCACACCAUCUUUGGUGAGGUGGUUUUAUGCAUCUAUGAUACAGUUAGAUUCUCUUGUCAAAGUUUUCAUUCCUUCCUGGAAUCACUCAGCCUCCUAAACAAUUUUUAAAAAUAGCUACACAGAUUAUGUUCGCUCUUUUAUGUUGUAAAUUUCUUUGGGUUUUGACAAAUGAAUAUCAUGUUUCUAUAAUUACAGUUCCAUACAGAAUAUUUACACUGCCUUAAAAUAUCUCCUGUGUUUCACCUAUUCCACUGUUCCCUUUCACUGUCUCUAUAGUUUUAUCUUUUUCAGAAUAUUAUAUAAUUUGAAUAAUACAGUAUACAGCCUUUUCAUAUGGCUUAUUGUACUCAACAUUAUGCGCUUAAGAUUUCUCAUUAUCUUUUUGUGGCUUAAUAGCACAUCUCUUUUUAUUGUUAAAUAUUUCAUUGUAUGAAUGUGCCACAGUUUAUUUACCCAUUCACCUAUUAAAGGACAUCUU